GACGAACCGUGCGAACGUUGUUCGGAUUCACUGGGCGUAAAGGGUGCGUAGGCGGUCGGGUAAGUCUGGCGUGAAAUCUCCAAGCCUAACUUGGAAACUGCGUUGGAUACUAUCCGGCUCGAGGAAUGGAGGGGAGACUGGAAUACUUGGUGUAGCAGUGAAAUGCGUAGAUAUCAAGUGGAACACCAGUGGCGAAGGCGAGUCUCUGGACAUUUCCUGACGCUGAGGCACGAAAGCCAGGGGAGCAAACGGG
rnacentral:rRNA from 1 species